rnacentral:rRNA from 1 species
UACGUAGGGGGCAAGCGUUAUCCGGAUUUACUGGGUGUAAAGGGAGCGUAGACGGCAUGGCAAGUCUGAAGUGAAAUGCGGGGGCUCAACCCCUGAACUGCUUUGGAAACUGUCAGGCUGGAGUGCAGGAGAGGUAAGUGGAAUUCCUAGUGUAGCGGUGAAAUGCGUAGAUAUUAGGAGGAACACCAGUGGCGAAGGCGGCUUACUGGACUGUAACUGACGUUGAGGCUCGAAAGCGUGGGGAGCAAACAGG